rnacentral:tRNA from 1 species
GCGCGCGUAGCUCAGCGGUAGAGCACUACGUUGACAUCGUAGGGGUCACUGGUUCAAUCCCAGUCGUGCGCACCA